AGAAUGAACGUUGGCGGCGUGGAUUAGGCAUGCAAGUCGAACGGGCCGCAAGGCCAGUGGCGCAAGGGUGAGUAAGGCGAAGGUAACCAACCCCGCGGGUGGGCAUAGCCGAGGGAAACUUCGGGUAAUUCCCAGCGAUGUGACGGCUCGGCAUCGAGCUUUCACCAAAGAUUUAUCGCCGUGGGACGGGCCUUCGUGGUAUUAGCUUGUUGGCGGGGUGACGGCCCACCAAGGCUGCGAUGCCUACCGGGCGUGCGAGCGUGGCCCGGCACACUGGGACUGAGACACUGCCCAGACUCCUACGGGAGGCUGCAGUCGAGAAUCUUCGGCAAUGGGCGCAAGCCUGACCGAGCGACGCCGCGUGGAGGAUGAAGGCCUUCGGGUUGUAACUCCUGUCGAGGGGAGGAAGCCGCAAGGUUGACCGAUCCCGUGGAGGAAGCACGGGCUAAGUUCGCGCUAGCAGCCGC
rnacentral:rRNA from 1 species